CCCUGCAUUCGAAAGUGAUCACGGUCCUGCCUGUGGCCGGGUCAUCGAUAGUGCAGGGAGAGGAGCGCGAGAGCCUUCCCGUGUUUGGGGGGGGUCUCUGUCCCCCCCUAAACCCUGUUGCUGUCGGACA